rnacentral:rRNA from 1 species
GAACGUGCCUUUCACCACGGAAUAGUCCCGGGAAACUGGGUUUAAUACCGUAUACGCCCUUCGGGGGAAAGAAUUUCGGUGAGAGAUCGGCCCGCGUCUGAUUAGGUAGUUGGUGGGGUAAUGGCCUACCAAGCCGACGAUCAGUAGCUGGUUUGAGAGGAUGAUCAGCCACACUGGGACUGAGACACGGCCCAGACUCCUACGGGAGGCAGCAGUGAGGAAUCUUGGACAAUGGGGGCAACCCUGAUCCAGCCAUGCCGCGUGAACGAUGAAGGCCUUAGGGUUGUAAAGUUCUUUCAACGGUGAAGAUAAUGACGGUAGCCGUAGAAGAAACCCCGGCUAACUCCGUGCCAGCAGCCGCGGUAAUACGGAGGGGGUUAGCGUUGUUCGGAAUUACUGGGCGUAAAGCGCACGUAGGCGGACUAUUAAGUCAGGGGUGAAAUCCCGGGGCUCAACCCCGGAACUGCCUUUGAUACUGGUAGUCUAGAGUUCGAGAGAGGUGAGUGGAAUUCCGAGUGUAGAGGUGAAAUUCGUAGAUAUUCGGAGGAAC